UCCAUGGUACCAGUGGUUGAGGAUGUCGUG
rnacentral:piRNA from 1 species